rnacentral:rRNA from 1 species
AGCUGGAAUCCCGCCUGGGGAGUACGGCCGCAAGGCUGAAACUCAAAGGAAUUGACGGGGGCCCGCACAAGCGCAAGACCGCAAGUUCGGAUGUGGAGCAUGUGUUCGAAGCAACGCGAAGAACCUUACCAGGUCUUGACAUCCUCUGAAAACCCUAGAGAUAGGAGCAGAGUGACAGGUGGUGCAUGGUUGUCGUCAGCUCGUGUCGUGAGGUUUAAAUGUUGGGUUAAGUCCCGCAACGAGCGCAACCCUUGAUCUUAGUUGCCAUCAUUAAGUUGGGCACUCUAAGGUGACUGCCGGUGACAAACCGGAGGAAGGUGGAUAGGAUGACGUCAAAUCAUCAUGCCCCUUAUGACCUGGGCUACACACGUGCUACAAUUACGGACGGUACAAAGAGCUGGCGAGGUGGAGCUAAUCUCAUAAAACAACUCGCCUACAUGAGCUAGUAAUCGCGGAUCAGCGGUGAAUACGUUCCCGGGCCUUGUACACACCGCCCGUCACACCACGAGAGUUUGUAACACCGUCG